GCGCCGCGGGACGCGCCGGCGGCGGCCGAGAGUGAGGGUGGCGAGCGCGUGGACGCACCUCCCGACGUGCUGGUUGCCCGCGCUCUCGGGCGCGGCCGGACGGCGGCGGAGCGCGC
rnacentral:misc_RNA from 1 species